rnacentral:misc_RNA from 1 species
UUCGGAUCAUUUUACGUUGUUGCAGCAAUAGGAAUGAUAACUGGGUUUCGAAGGACUCGUAAACCUGGCACACUUGUACCUUUGCUUCCUCUAUCUUUCAUUCUGGCAUACCAAGCUGACCUAGCAUAUGGAUCGAAGCUCAACCGGAUCAAAAUGGAGGCUGAGAACAUCCUUAUGUUUGAGCGCGACCUAGUGUCAGUGCCUAUGGGAGUCCCUACCCCAUCCACCAUCGAUGAGGCUCGUGAGCGUCAGGAGGAAAAUAAGCGACUUAACAAGGCUCUUCAUCAGCAUCGUAGUGGGUAUUACUAGCCCACUCCUCCCACACCGCUACUCUUCUUACUUUCCUUUGUACAUUCGUCAGUUCCAAGAUAUUUGGAAAGAUUAGAAAUGGGAGACUUUCAGUAAAGAGAUUCGGGAUGUAGACGACUGCUUGGUUGCUUAUGAACAUGUAACCCUAAGGCUGCAUUUUGGAGUGACUCAGCACGCACCAUGUCCCUGCAGUACAUAUCCUCUAUCAAACACUUUUAUGCGCCUCUCAGCUCGAAUAAAGAAAGGAUCAUCA